rnacentral:rRNA from 1 species
UACGUAGGGUGCGAGCGUUGUCCGGAAUUAUUGGGCGUAAAGAGCUCGUAGGCGGUCUGUCGCGUCUGCUGUGAAAACCCGAGGCUCAACCUCGGGCCUGCAGUGGGUACGGGCAGACUAGAGUGCGGUAGGGGAGAAUGGAAUUCCCGGUGUAGCGGUGAAAUGCGCAGAUAUCGGGAGGAACACCGGUGGCGAAGGCGGUUCUCUGGGCCUUACCUGACGCUGAGGAGCGAAAGCGUGGGGAGCGAACAGG